UCAAAGCUAGCCUAUAUACUAAUUUAACUAGACCUUAUAAAUCUAAUUUAUAUUAUAAUUUUUAACCAAAACAUUCUCAACCUUUCAGUAUGGGUGACAGAACAAUAAACCCAGCGCAAUAGCUUAUGUACCGCAAGGGAACGCUGAAAAAGAAAUGAAAUAAAUCAUUAAAGUACUAAAAAGCAGAGAUUAUUCCUCGUACCUUUUGCAUCAUGAUUUAGCUAGAAAAAUUAGGCAAAAAGACCUUAAGUCUACCUUCCCGAAACUAAACGAGCUACUCCGAAGCAGCAUUAUAGAGCUAACCCGUCUCUGUGGCAAAAGAGUGGGAAGACUUCCGAGUAGCGGUGAAAAGCCUACCGAGUUUAGUGAUAGCUGGUUACCCAAGAAAAGAACUUUAGUUCUGCAUUAAUUUUUUAUCAUCUAGACAAGACUUACUCGUCAAAGAAAUUUAUAAGAAUUAAUAGUUAUUUAGAAGAGGUACAGCCCUUCUAAACCAAGACACAACUUUUUAAGGUGGGAAAUGAUCAUAAUUAUUAAGGUUACCAUCUCAGUAGGCCUAAAAGCAGCCACCUGUUAAGUAAGCGUCACAGCUCUAAUUUAAUAAUUAAACCUCUAAUUUAGAUAUUCAUUCACAACCCCCUUUAUUUUAUUGGGUUAUUUUAUAUUUAUAUAAAAGAACUUAUGCUAAAAUGAGUAAUAAAGAGAAUAAAUCUCUCCCGACACAAGUGUACGUCAGAAAGAAUUAAAUCACUGAUAAUUAAACGGCCCCAAACUGAGGUCAUUAUAUUAUUUAAUCAUCAACUAGAAAAUCCUAUUCCUCUACCCGUUAUCCCUACACAGGAAUGUCAUCAGGAAAGA
rnacentral:rRNA from 1 species